GAUGAACGCUGGCGGCGUGCCUAAUACAUGCAAGUCGAGCGAAUGGAUUAAGAGCUUGCUCUUAUGAAGUUAGCGGCGGACGGGUGAGUAACACGUGGGUAACCUGCCCAUAAGACUGGGAUAACUCCGGGAAACCGGGGCUAAUACCGGAUAACAUUUUGAACCGCAUGGUUCGAAAUUGAAAGGCGGCUUCGGCUGUCACUUAUGGAUGGACCCGCGUCGCAUUAGCUAGUUGGUGAGGUAACGGCUCACCAAGGCAACGAUGCGUAGCUGACCUGAGAGGGUGAUCGGCCACACUGGGACUGGGACACGGCCCAGACUCCUACGGGAGGCAGCAGUAGGGAGUCUUCCGCAAUGGACGAAAGUCUGACGGAGCAACGCCGCGUGAGUGAUGAAGGCUUUCGGGUCGUAAAACUCUGUUGUUAGGGAAGAACAAGUGCUAGUUGAAUAAGCUGGCGCCUUGACGGUACCUAACCAGAAAGCCACGGCUAACUACGUGCCAGCCGCCGCGGUAA
rnacentral:rRNA from 1 species